GACGAACGCGGGCGGCGUGCCUAAUACAUGCAAGUAGAACGCUGAAGGAGGAGCUUGCUUCUCUGGAUGAGUUGCGAACGGGUGAGUAACGCGUAGGUAACCUGCCUGGUAGCGGGGGAUAACUAUUGGAAACGAUAGCUAAUACCGCAUAAGAGUAGAUGUUGCAUGGCAUUUACUUAAAAGGUGCAAUUGCAUCACUACCAGAUGGACCUGCGUUGUAUUAGCUAGUUGGUGGGGUAACGGCUCACCAAGGCGACGAUACAUAGCCGACCUGAGAGGGUGAUCGGCCACACUGGGACUGAGACACGGCCCAGACUCCUACGGGAGGCAGCAGUAGGGAAUCUUCGGCAAUGGACGGAAGUCUGACCGAGCAACGCCGCGUGAGUGAAGAAGGUUUUCGGAUCGUAAAGCUCUGUUGUAAGAGAAGAACGAGUGUGAGAGUGGAAAGUUCACACUGUGACGGUAUCUUACCAGAAAGGGACGGCUAACUACGUGCCAGCAGCCGCGGUAAUACGUAGGUCCCGAGCGUUGUCCGGAUUUAUUGGGCGUAAAGCGAGCGCAGGCGGUUAGAUAAGUCUGAAGUUAAAGGCUGUGGCUUAACCAUAGUACGCUUUGGAAACUGUUUAACUUGAGUGCAAGAGGGGAGAGUGGAAUUCCAUGUGUAGCGGUGAAAUGCGUAGAUAUAUGGAGGAACACCGGUGGCGAAAGCGGCUCUCUGGCUUGUAACUGACGCUGAGGCUCGAAAGCGUGGGGAGCAAACAGG
rnacentral:rRNA from 1 species